rnacentral:rRNA from 1 species
AUUGAGCGCUGGCGGCAGGCCUAACACAUGCAAGUCGAACGGCAGCACAGAAGAGCUUGCUCUUUGGGUGGCGAGUGGCGGACGGGUGAGUAAUGUCUGGGAAACUGCCCGAUGGAGGGGGAUAACUACUGGAAACGGUAGCUAAUACCGCAUAACGUCGCGAGACCAAAGUGGGGGACCUUCGGGCCUCACACCAUCGGAUGUGCCCAGAUGGGAUUAGCUAGUAGGUGGGGUAAUGGCUCACCUAGGCGACGAUCCCUAGCUGGUCUGAGAGGAUGACCAGCCACACUGGAACUGAGACACGGUCCAGACUCCUACGGGAGGCAGCAGUGGGGAAUAUUGCACAAUGGGCGCGAGCCUGAUGCAGCCAUGCCGCGUGUAUGAAGAAGGCCUUCGGGUUGUAAAGUACUUUCAGCGGGGAGGAAGGCGGUGAGGUUAAUAACCUUGCCGAUUGACGUUACCCGCAGAAGAAGCACCGGCUAACUCCGUGCCAGCCGCCGCGGUAA